UACGUAGGGACCAAGCGUUGUUCGGAUUUACUGGGCGUAAAGGGCGCGUAGGCGGCAUAUUAAGUCAGCUGUGAAAUCUCCGAGCUUAACUCGGAACUGUCAGCUGAUACUGAUGUUCUAGAGUGCAGAAGGGGCAAUCGGAAUUCUUGGUGUAGCGGUGAAAUGCGUAGAUAUCAAGAGGAACACCUGAGGUGAAGACGGGUUGCUGGGCUGACACUGACGCUGAUAGCGCGAAAGCCAGGGGAGCAAACGGG
rnacentral:rRNA from 1 species